UUCAGAUGGCACGGAUCUGGCUUGUUACAUCUAUGGUGCUUGUGGCGUAUCUUCAACUGGCAUUUUGUGCUGGCGGUAAAUGUGUACAGCACUCCGAAUGUCCAGAGAAAAUGGCGUGCGAGAGCAAAAGCUCCCAGUGUGUGGAUCCGUGCCUCACACAUCGCAAAUGUGGAACUGCAGCUACCUGUAUUGUCGAUGAGCAUUUGGCCAAAUGUCAAUGCGAUCCAGGAAAUGUAGGUAAUCCCUACGAGAGGUGCAGCUCCUCGACAUUCGAUAUACUUACUGAAGGACU